rnacentral:rRNA from 1 species
AUUGAACGCUGGCGGCAGGCUUAACACAUGCAAGUCGAACGAUGAAGAUAUAGCUUGCUAUAUCGGAUUAGUGGCGGACGGGUGAGUAACACUUAGGAAUCUACCUUUUAGCGGGGGAUAGCUCGGGGAAACUCGAAUUAAUACCGCAUAAUUUCUACGGAAUAAAGAGGGCUUUUAGCUCUCACUAGAAGAUGAGCCUAAGUAAGAUUAGCUAGUUGGUGGGGUAAAAGCCUACCAAGGCGACGAUCUUUAGCUGGUCUGAGAGGAUGAUCAGCCACACUGGGACUGAGACACGGCCCAGACUCCUACGGGAGGCAGCAGUGGGGAAUAUUGGACAAUGGGGGCAACCCUGAUCCAGCCAUGCCGCGUGUGUGAAGAAGGCCUUUUGGUUGUAAAGCACUUUAAGCAGUGAAGAAGACCUAUUGGUUAAUACCCAAUAGCGAUGACAUUAACUGCAGAAUAAGCACCGGCUAACUCUGUGCCAGCAGCCGCGGUAAUACAGAGGGUGCAAGCGUUAAUCGGAAUUACUGGGCGUAAAGCGAGCGUAGGUGGUUAAAUAAGUCAGAUGUGAAAGCCCUGGGCUCAACCUAGGAACGGCAUCUGAAACUAUUUAACUAGAGUAGGUGAGAGGGAAGUAGAAUUUCAGGUGUAGCGGUGAAAUGCGUAGAGAUCUGAAGGAAUACCGAUGGCGAAGGCAGCUUCCUGGCGUCAUACUGACACUGAGGCUCGAAAGCGUGGGUAGCAAACAGG